ensembl:lncRNA
UAGCGACUAUAGUUGUGAAUCUUCACUUGCCUUACGAUUCGUUUUUUUUUUUUAACGAUUCAAUUAUAAAACGAUUUUCGGUGCAUCCUUUCCUCAAAUUCUUUUAUUAAUAAUAAUUACUAUAUUAAUCAUAGUAUAGUUAUUAUUUUAUCUUUAUUAAAAAUAAAAACCAACAUGCAAAUAAACUUUAGAAUCAACUAAAACAAAUGUAAAAAUCACUACACAGUCUUUAGUGUAUUUAUUACAAAUAAAGUAGUUCAGUCAAGAGCAGCGAGUGAUUCCCUCUUUUCUUGAAUUGUUUGAUUAACAUUAAUAAGACUGACGCGGCCUAUAUAUUAAACCCUUUUCGUGGUUUAUCACUCUUAAUAACUCUUUUAACAUUCAUCAAGUCCCACACUUUAUAUUCUCAUCCCUGCAUGUUCCUCUCAAAUGUCAGACGCAAGUGCUUUGCUUCUGAUAGACAAACUGAACUUUUUAAAACUUAGAAGGUAGACCUGUCAGAAAACGUACAAAUAAAGAUAAUUUCAUAUGUUUAAUUACUAUUUGGAGCAUUGGGAUCAUUAGACGAGGGUUUAAUGAACCCGUUUUUGUGAAAAAUACAAAUUUGACCAAAAAAUUAACUUUUUUUCACUUGUUUUGCCUGUAGCUUGUAAUUAGCUGUGCGCAUUCUGACUCAUGUUGCCAGCACGGGUCACAUAUGAGGUGCACAUUCAAAACAUCACUUCAUUUAUUUGUUCUUGAGUUAUUUUUGAUUUUCCUCUUCAGUCAGGUGAAUCUCAUUAAAACAUGACUGGAUCACGUUUCACUUCAAAAGCAAAAAUAAUCGAAAUAAAUAAUCAUAUACAUAAGAAUGAAAAUGUCUUUGCAUAUAUGAUAUUGUUUACAAAACAUUUACCCCAAAUUCUGUUCUGAAUAAUGAUUCUCAUUUUUGUAAUAGAGAAAAAAAACCUCUGUAAUAAAAAAAAAAAACUACUCAGUGAUAGGGAUUUAAAAAAUGUAAUUAGCUUCUUAAAUUAAAUGCAAAAGAAAUACUACAUUGAUGUAUAAAUACUUAAGGAUUUUAAUAUAUAAAAUCUAAAUAAUAUUCCCAUAUAUUAUAUUGUUAUAUAAUGAAUUGUUCUCAAUUUUUUUAUUAUUAUAUGUAUUUAUACCUCUUUUUUGCAUUUUAAUAUUUUGAAAUAAUCUUUUUAAAUUGCUACGCUCUUAAGUGUUUAAAUUAAAUUAAAUUCCAUAUUUAAAAUCUUUUAGAUAUUGGGGUGAAAUGUGGCCUUUACAUGUUCUUGACAGAUUUCGUGUCACCCUCUGAUUUUGUUGAUCUUCAGACGAAACCACAAGUUUGUUCUUUUGGACUGAAAAAUUCAGGCCCCCAAAAAAUUACACCAAAAAUAUUCAUAAUAUUCAUCAAGUCAGACAAACAGACUGACAAUAAACGUUCCUUGUUUUCGUUUUCCAAGAUUGUUAGCACUUCACGGCUGGCAUUUUCGGCGUUCCUAACCGGCAGCUGGCACCUCACUGUGUCUCCUGCGCUGACGGAUGGUGACACCAGCACAGCGCUUGUCUGAAUAAUGUGCCCAGACCUGGAGUUCAAUCUCAGUUCAUCAGCAGAUUGAUAGAGGCAUUGAAAGCUUCCAUAUGUUCUCCAUGUAGUGACAUCUUAGCUGAAGCUCUCGGUUCUCAAACGGGCCCCCAGGGAGGCAGGAAGGGAAGACAAACCAGAUAUUAAAUGGACACGUCUGCCUCAUGAUCUACAGAGACUGAUAUCUAUCAUGAUCAGUGUGUGCACAUUCACGGUUAUUAAUGUUAAUGUCACUUUAGUUCUGACGAAGUUGUCUUGAGUUUGGCUUUAAUUCAAACCAAAUCUAUGGCAGCUGAUUCUCACCCUGCCUUUCAUUUUGCACGUUUUUUGCUCCUGAAAGGGAUCAUUUACACAGACUCAUCAUUUAUUCACCCUCUUGUGAUUCCAAAUAGUUAGGACUUAGUUCUCACAUUUUAAACUCUUUUUGGAAUGAAAGGCAGUGGGGUCCAGUGUUCUUUUGGACCCCAUUGACUUUCAUUACAGUGCUACAAAGAGUGAAAUUAAAGUCAGUGAGGUCCAAAAUAACACUGGAGUGUGAGUAAAUGAUGACAGUUACAUUUUAGUUGAACUAUUCCUAUAAUGUCUCUAGUGAUUUUCUAUUUGGUGUGUUUUUGCUCCGUCCACCUCAUGUUCUCCUCAGGUUUUGAAUGACAACAUGAAUCUGUCCCAGACAUAUUAGUUUGACACGUUUCUCUUUUUUUCCCCUGUGUGGUUUGCCAGCGGUUUACUGAUGUAAUCUGUGAUGUGUUUGAUACUGUAAAGUGAUCGCUGCUCUCUGUGAGAGCGCUGUCUCCUGAUCUAAGAGAACCUAAUCUGAACCUGCGCUUGAGUUUACACGGUUUCUUCUGUAGGUUUGGGUUCAAACUGCUGUUGAUUUAAAGGGAAAUGUAUCUGUAGGAUCUUGUUUGUGGACAGAAUGGACGUCUUCUUAUUCAGUUCUUUCUCUGAUGUGCUCCACAAACAAAGUGUAAGAACUGAAGUAUAGGUAUUAGCAUUCAUGUCUCCCUGAAGCACAAAAGCAAGUCAUUUCACAUGGGUGAAAUGUUAUAUUGUUACCAAAUGCUCAUGUAAUAUGUCCAUGUCUGUUUUAAGCUAAACAAAUGUGCCUUCUUUCAAGGAAUCUUCCUACUUUCACAUUAAUAACGAUCUCUCUCUCUCUCUUUCUCGCUCUCAAAUGUCAUUAUUUUUCUUGAGUGUAUGAUCUGUGCAGCUUAUCACUUGCAUGUAAGUCACUUCAAAUACUUGACAAUCACAUCCACCGACGUCUCGUUAAAAUAAAAAUGGAAAUGCUCUUUUUGAUCAUUGAGAUUACCUUGUGCAUUUUUUUUUUGUUUUGUUUUUUAUUCUAUGGCUUGUUGUGUGACCACAAAAAAAAUUUCUCAAAGUGUAUGUAAAGGAUUGUUUGUCAUAUAAAAAUGUAG